rnacentral:Y_RNA from 1 species
AACUUGUCCAAAGGUAGUGAGUUAUCUCACGUGAUUGUUCACAUCAGUUACAGGUUGAACUCCUUAUCCUACUACUUUCCCCCCUUCUCACUACUGCACUUGACUAGUAAA